rnacentral:rRNA from 1 species
UACAGAGGGGGCGAACGUUAAUCGGAAUCACUGGGCGUAAAGCGCACGUAGGCGGCUUGGCAAGCCGGUUGUGAAAUCCCCGGGCUCAACCUGGGAACUGCAUCCGGGACUGCAUUGCUAGAGGAUGGGAGAGGGAAGUGGAAUUUCUGGUGUAGCAGUGAAAUGCGUAGAUAUCAGAAGGAACAUCAGUGGCGAAGGCGGCUUCCUGGACCAAUCCUGACGCUCAGGUGCGAAAGCGUGGGGAGCAAACAGG